UAUGACAACAACUUAAUCUAACAAGCCAUUCUGGGGGAAAUAUUAAAAAUUCAAUCCAAGUUGACCCCGUGAACAUCAUGGAUUACUUUGAAUGACAAGAAUAAUAAUUACUGACUAGGAGUAUGGAACAAAAUAGAUGUGUUCCAAAAAUCUCACUGAUGCUUCAGAAUGUCAACAAAAACGACCAAAUUCAAGAUUGACAAUGACAGAUCAAACACACGCAGAGCCCUCUAGUGGAAGGACAUCAAAACUGAAUCUGCAGAAAAGCUCACCACUGAAACAUUGGUAACUUCACCGGGUUGAAAGCCUGGCCUGGACCUGUGUUCACACCUGAAAUGGCUUCCUAACCACCACCAGCACGUCUGUCCUUAAUCAAGGCUGAGCACAUCGGUUUACGGCCACAAACACAGACUCAGCCCGGAAGACCUGAGACGUCGCAGUGAGAUAAUAGGGUUUCAUAAUGAUGAUCUUGAGUCUCCUGGACACCAAAGAAGCUUCUCAACCAACAAUAAAUUGCAGAUACUGAAUAGUCAAAACAGAUCUAUUCCAAGCAAGUUGAAUGACCUUGAACUUGUUCUGUGCGCCUGGAGACUCUACCUAGUGAGAUCUUCCUCCGGAGUGGAUUUACUCCUGCUUCCUCUGGACGACAUGGCAGUGCCAACCCCAGAACAACUGUAGUCCCACUGGAAUUCCUUUUUAAAAGACUCAUUUUUCUCCUUUUCUGUUUUUCUGGCAUUUUUCUUGGUAAUUGGAGACUUUGUUUACCAUAGCAUGGAGUUCGACAAGGCACCAUGGGAAAUGGCAGGAAGACAGCAUUCAUCCUUAGGAAUAGAUGUUCAGGAGCACAUAUGGGAAACCUUGCUUGGCGGGUCUUGGUGAGGUUGACCAGGACAGGAAGCAAAACAGGUUGAACUCUCAGG